rnacentral:rRNA from 1 species
AUGCACUGGUUUGCCUGGCGGAAGCUUUGUGUCCCAAAAUCUCAGGGAGGGAUGGGGUUUAGAGACCUUCGUUGUUUUAAUUUGGUGAUGCUUGCGAAGCAAAUUUGGAGAUUACUAGAGGCACCAGAUAGCUUGUGUGCAAGAGUUCUGAAGAGUAAGUAUUACCCUGAUGGUAAGAUUCUUAAUGCAAAACUUAAACCUGGUUCUUCCUUCACGUGGCAGAGUAUAUUGUCUGGUCUCAACACUUUAAAUAAAGGGGCGAUGAUACAUCUCCGUCGUCUCUAUAAUUUUUGA